AGAGGGAUAGCUAGGUCAAAUGGUGGUUCCAUUCUCAGAUUUCCAAGGAAUUUCCAUACUGUUUUCCAUAUUGGCUGCACCAAUUUGCAGUCCCACCAGCAAU
rnacentral:pre_miRNA from 1 species